UCCCUGGUGGUCUAGUGGUUAAGAUUCAGCACUUUCACCACUGUAGCCCAGGUUCAAUUCCUGGUCUGAGAA
rfam:Sus scrofa chromosome 3.